AAACCCUAAAACGGCACCUACUCUCUGAAUAUCACCUCCUAUUGAUUCCUAAGCCUAUUUUGAUCAUUGGCUGAUUUUGGUUAUAAAAUUUCUGGGUUUUCGUUAUUGAACCGUUCUUAAUCCGUUCCAAGAGACCCGUCGGCUGCUCGUGCUUUGGAGUCUACGCAGGGUUGGCUGUUUGCCAAGAUUCACGUGGAUAAGCAAGCAGUGAGUUU